rnacentral:tRNA from 1 species
GCCUGCGUGGCUCAGUCGGUUGAGCGUCUGACUUUGGCUCAGGUCAUGAUCUCAUGGUUUGUGGGUUCGAGCCCCGUGUCGGGCU